rnacentral:lncRNA from 1 species
UUUAAUUUGAGCUACAUGUACAUUACACACUGUCCACUGCACAGGACACUGUAGAAGUACAAGAACAAAAGCUCUAUAUCAUGUAUACUACACAGUAGCUUAUAUUUGUAUGCUAUGACAUACGUACUGUACAUGUAGUAACUGAGAAUAUAAAUGUUGAAAGACUUCUAAUCCGAACAGGUGUAAUAUAUUUAAGUAAAAAAGUAUACUUAGAUAUUUCAUAUGAAGAAGGCUGUGAAUAAGGCACACAUUCCUAACUGAAAGAGAAUGGAAGGCAAUUGAAGUUAAU